rnacentral:rRNA from 1 species
ACAUGCAAGUCGAACGGUAGAGGGGGCAACCCCUUGAGAGUGGCGAACGGGUGAGUAAUGUAUCGGAACGUGCCCAGUCGUGGGGGAUAACGUAGUGAAAAUUACGCUAAUACCGCAUACGAUCUAUGGAUGAAAGCGGGGGAUCGCAAGACCUCGCGCGAUUGGAGCGGCCGAUAUCAGAUUAGGUAGUUGGUGGGGUAAAGGCUCACCAAGCCAACGAUCUGUAGCUGGUCUGAGAGGACGACCAGCCACACUGGAACUGAGACACGGUCCAGACUCCUACGGGAGGCAGCAGUGGGGAAUUUUGGACAAUGGACGCAAGUCUGAUCCAGCCAUUCCGCGUGCAGGACGAAGGCCUUCGGGUUGUAAACUGCUUUUGUACGGAACGAAAAAGCUCUUAUUAAUACUAGGAGUCCAUGACGGUACCGUAAGAAUAAGCACCGGCUAACUACGUGCCAGCAGCCGCGGUAAUACGUAGGGUGCAAGCGUUAAUCGGAAUUACUGGGCGUAAAGCGUGCGCAGGCGGUUAUAUAAGACAGAUGUGAAAUCCCCGAGCUUAACUUGGGAACUGCAUUUGUGACUGUAUAGCUAGAGUACGGCAGAGGGGGAUGGAAUUCCGCGUGUAGCAGUGAAAUGCGUAGAUAUGCGGAGGAACACCGAUGGCGAAGGCAAUCCCCUGGGCCUGUACUGACGCUCAUGCACGAAAGCGUGGGGAGCAAACAGGAUUAGAUACCCUGGUAGUCCACGCCCUAAACGAUGUCAACUGGUUGUUGGGUCUUCACUGACUCAGUAACGAAGCUAACGCGUGAAGUUGACCGCCUGGGGAGUACGGCCGCAAGGUUGAAACUCAAAGGA